AUCUACGGUCAAAGAAUCCAGAAAGUAUCGCAUCCCGUCCGAUCUGCGCAAAUAAGUUGGGUUUCGCUCGAUCAGUAUCAAAGUGGGGGACCAUUUGGGAAUCCCGAGUGCUGUAGUUG
rfam:Cryptococcus dejecticola CBS 10117 unplaced genomic scaffold supercont1.5, whole genome shotgun sequence.